rnacentral:lncRNA from 1 species
CCUGCCAGGGACUGUUUCUCCUCUGAGAUGCCCCUCUGCCAUACCGCCCUGCCUUGGAGCCAGCUGACUAGGGACUGAAAUCUCUACAAACUGUGAGCUAAAAUAAACCUUGUCUCUUUUAACUUCUAGGUUGUGCAUCAUGUCCCAGCAACAAAGAAGCCUCUAAUACAGCAGAUAUAAACUCCAGUGGAGAUAUACAGGGUGAUGACUGUUCCAGCAACACUUCUACUCAAACUGGACCCACACUGAGGAAUUCCUGCAGCUCUGAAUCCGGAAGGCGGAGGUGUCUGUGGGGAGCAGGGUCCCAGGACCACUGUGAGAAGCAGUCAAAGAACAUGGCUAUCGUCACCCCACAGUUCCGGGUGAGGAAACUGAGGCCCAGACUGGUCAAGUGGCACUUUCAACCUCACUCACAGAACUGGGUAACCAAAAAGGGUUCUGGAGUUUACUUCCCCCAACUCCUCACUUAGUACGCGCUUUAUGAAGUCCUGCUACCUCUCUGUGAGGGGCAGCAGAGAGGCUGUGGCAAGCUGGGCUUCUCCAGGAAGCUCCUAUUCAGCCGCCACUGCUCACCCAGA